rnacentral:rRNA from 1 species
AAAUUGAAGAGUUUGAUCAUGGCUCAGAUUGAACGCUGGCGGCAGGCCUAACACAUGCAAGUCGAACGGUAACAGGAAGCAGCUUGCUGCUUUGCUGACGAGUGGCGGACGGGUGAGUAAUGUCUGGGAAACUGCCUGAUGGAGGGGGAUAACUACUGGAAACGGUAGCUAAUACCACAUAACGUCGCAAGACCAAAGAGGGGGACCUUCGGGCCUCUUGCCAUCGGAUGUGCCCAGAUGGGAUUAGCUUGUUGGUGGGGUAACGGCUCACCAAGGCGACGAUCCCUAGCUGGUCUGAGAGGAUGACCAGCCACACUGGAACUGAGACACGGUCCAGACUCCUACGGGAGGCAGCAGUGGGGAAUAUUGCACAAUGGGCGCAAGCCUGAUGCAGCCAUGCCGCGUGUAUGAAGAAGGCCUUCGGGUUGUAAAGUACUUUCAGCGGGGAGGAAGGGAGUAAAGUUAAUACCUUU